GAUGAACGCUGGCGGCGUGCCUAAUACAUGCAAGUCGAGCGAACGGACGAGAAGCUUGCUUCUCUGAUGUUAGCGGCGGACGGGUGAGUAACACGUGGAUAACCUACCUAUAAGACUGGGAUAACUUCGGGAAACCGGAGCUAAUACCGGAUGAUAUUUUGAACCGCAUGGUUCAAAAGUGAAAGACGGUCUUGCUGUCACUUAUAGAUGGAUCCGCGCUGCAUUAGCUAGUUGGUAAGGUAACGGCUUACCAAGGCAACGAUGCAUAGCCGACCUGAGAGGGUGAUCGGCAACUCGGCAGCUGGGACGCGCUCCCACAUCCGACGGGAGGCAGGAGUCGGAAUUCUUCGGGAGUGGGCGAUAGCCUGACGUAGCAACGCCGCGUGAGUGAUGAAGGUCUACGGCUCGUAAAACUCUGUUAUUAGGGAAGAACAUAUGUGUAAGUAACUGUGCACAUCUUGACGGUACCUAAUCAGAAGGCCCCGGCUACCUCCGU
rnacentral:rRNA from 1 species